rnacentral:rRNA from 1 species
UACGUAGGGUGCGAGCGUUGUCCGGAAUUAUUGGGCGUAAAGGGCUCGUAGGCGGUCUGUCGCGUCGGGAGUGAAAACUCGGGGCUUAACCCCGAGCCUGCUUCUGAUACGGGCAGACUAGAGGUAUGCAGGGGAGAACGGAAUUCCUGGUGUAGCGGUGAAAUGCGCAGAUAUCAGGAGGAACACCGGUGGCGAAGGCGGUUCUCUGGGCAUUACCUGACGCUGAGGAGCGAAAGUGUGGGGAGCGAACAGG